CAAUAGCGUAUAUUAACGUUGUUGCAGUUAAAAAGCUCGUAGUUGGAUUUCUGGAGGGAGCGUCGACCCGUAUUUACGAGUGCGUGACGUCUCUGUCCAUCCUUGCGGGAAGGCACGGCAUUGAUUUGUUGUGUCGGAUCGCAUCAUUUACUGUGAAAAAAUUAGAGUGUUCAAAGCAGGCUUUCGCUUGAAUACAUUAGCAUGGAAUAAUAAGAUAGGACUUUGGUGCUAUUUUGUUGGUUGAGCCUAAAGUAAUGAUUAAUAGGGAUAGUUGGGGGCACCUGUAUUGCGUUGUCAGAGGUGAAAUUCUUGGAUUUACGCAAGACAAACAGCUGCGAAAGCGUCUGCCAAGGAUGUUUNCAUUAG
rnacentral:rRNA from 1 species